UCAAUCUACGCAGAGUGAAUCGGUCCCUAAGGAACCCCUGAAAGGGCUGCCGUCCGAUGGGUGCACGAAAGUGACGAAGUUGCUUUGACUACUGAACCAUGCCUGGAUCGUCGGAGCGAAUUGGAUGAUCGGGCGAGGGCUGCCCCCUCUUCCCCUCGCUCUCCUUUCCUUAAUAUUCACCGUCAAGUCAUCAAAGACGUCAACUAAUUCAGAGGGGCUCGGCUGGCCCGGUUGCCCUACGCUACUGGCGCUUCCAAAGGCGAAGCUCUCAUCUUUGGCGACCAGCAAACGGAGGGCUAAAACCUGUAGUUUUGAAGCAAGGGAUGAGCGCGAAAGCCGUUGCGCUUCCGUACACGUGCAUACGUUUUCUUGCUGGGGCGGACACGGAUUUCUCUCUAAAGGCGAAGAAAAAGAAGUGGGCGAACACUCGGCCCAGCGGGCGACCAU
rnacentral:rRNA from 1 species